UCAGUGGUAACUGGAUUUACCUUCAGUGAAAGAGCUGCAUUUUCAAGGUUUCUUUCAAAGCUUCCAAGUCUUGUCGCACUAGGAAUCUACAAACAGCAUGAAGAUCUCCAAAAUGCAGAGAUCUACUGCCCAGGGAUCACAAACAUGUAAAAGAAGGGGAGUAGGUUUCUGUAAAAGCAGGGGCAUGUCCAUCUCUUCAACAGCCACUGAUAACUCGCUCAGACCAUAUCUCCCAGGCUCUCAAAUCAGAAGGGUUUGUUCUCCACCUGCCCCGAGAUGGAAGGAUUCACUUUAAAGCUCAGACUUUAAGGAAAUGAAAAGAGAGAGCCUGAAAGUACUUGGAUGUUUCAAACCACAAAUCACUCAGGAAAACUCCACCUUGGUCAAUCAAUUUAUCUUAAACAAGAUGACUUGAAAGAAAGGAGGGUGAAGGGGAAGGUCUGAAUUUAAGACCCAAAUUUCUCAGUGAAACAGUCUAUGUUUAGCUCAUCAUGUUCAAGUCUCUUAACCUGAGGAGACAUCAGGAUUUCUGUACUUCUGAACUCAUUUUAUGUAUGUGCUUAUCAUUAAUUAGCUUUGCCUUCGAGCUCCGUUUAAAAAUAUGUGGCAAAAGAAGAGCAAAAUUAACAGUGUGUAAUUUAAUAUCUUUUUGUUGCUGUAAAAAUGUUUGUAAAAUUCUGACUGAAGAAAGAGCUCCUCUAAAAAAUGGAAUUAAGCUUCAAGACAUUUUAAAUCAAAAAAAAAUCUUUGGAAAAAAAAAGCAAUCUAGUUGCAAUUUUAAAGCUCUUUCCUCUAACCACAAAUCCAUUCUCUGUAAGUCAACUGAGCAAUAAAGCCAAAGCAAUAUUUAGUUAC